AUGUGGAAAACAAAAAAUUCCAGCUGCAGGCAAGCUAUCAAGAAUUUUCUGGAUGGUCAUGUCGAGGCAUUCAGUGAACGAUACCUUGGUCUUCCAACUGCAGUGGGUAAGAUCACUAGUGGCACUUUUGAUCACAUAAGGGAAACAUCAAGGAGUAAGAUGCAGGAGUGGUUAGAGAGACUCCUUGCUUGUGCUGGAAGUGAAAAUUUGUUGAAGUCCAUCAUCCAGGCAAUCCCAACAUUCAACAUGAGUGUUUUUCUCUUGACCAAGAAGGACCUCCACCUUUUCAACUUGGCACUCCUGGGUAAACAAGGAUGGCGCCUCAUCACUAAUCCCAAUACCCUGUGUGCUAGAGUACUCAAGGGCAAGUACUUUCCAGACACAGAUUUUAUGCAUGCUGCAACUCCAAGAUCCUCCUCGGCCACCUGGAGGGCUAUUGUAGCUGCGUGGGAAGCAUUGACCAACACUUUGGCUCACCUAUUCCGCCCUCCUGCCAUGAAUGUUUCCCUGGUGAGCGAGCUAAUUGAUAUGGACAACUGGACAUGGAGAAUGGAGCAAAUUCAUGAUAUCUUCAUCCUCCCAGAUGCAGAAGCGAUUCUGGACAUUCCCUUGCGUACUGGUGGAGGUGAUGAUUUCCUAGCAUGUUCACAUGAAGUUUCAGGCAAUGACACCAUCAAAUCAGCGUACCGAGCUCUAAUGACUCGUAACGAGCGUCAAGCUCAAGAGGAAGGACAUGUUACCAGUUCCUCAAUUGAUAAUCAGCGGAUGUGGAAUGCUCUCUAG
rnacentral:rRNA from 1 species